CGGGUGAGUAAUACAUAAGUAACCUGCCCUAGACAGGGGGAUAACUAUUGGAAACGAUAGCUAAGACCGCAUAGGUACGGACACUGCAUGGUGACCGUAUUAAAAGUGCCUCAAAGCACUGGUAGAGGAUGGACUUAUGGCGCAUUAGCUGGUUGGCGGGGUAACGGCUCACCAAGGCGACGAUGCGUAGCCGACCUGAGAGGGUGACCGGCCACACUGGGACUGAGACACGGCCCAGACUCCUACGGGAGGCAGCAUG
rnacentral:rRNA from 1 species